ensembl:lncRNA
CUCGGACUCCGGUCCUCCAGCGUUCCCGACGCUCCGCGCACAGAAGUGAAAGGUCGCCUCUCCCGUUCCCCCGCCGGAGCAGACGAGCUCGGCUGGCCCCGGACACACAGCCCGGUCCCCCGCCGCCCACAGCGGCUCUAAAUCGCCUGGAAAACCGAAAGCAGCUUCGCCUCGAUCCCGGAGAGCAGUCGGUAACGUGCGUUUCAGCGGGUCGUUCCUCCCCGUCCGUCCUGGGCAGGUGUGAAAAGAAAUGUUACAUGCCAGAUACGUCUACCUGUUGUGACUGAUGCCAUCAUCCAUCAUGUGGCUGCGAGAUGUCAGUAUAGUUGGAGUUGACUGUAUCCGCUGUGCUUGUGCCAAAUACUUACGGGAGUCCAGCUCCAGCCGACACAUUCCUGGAAUAUGCAAAUGUAGAAUUACAGCUUUGCUGUCUUUCUGGAAUCACACUUCUCCAAGAAAUAAUUGAUGCCUGUAAUUUCUUGCAUGUAUUAGCUAGCUGUUCACUGGACUGACCUGCUGUCUCGGGUAUGCAGGAGUUUUCACUGAGCCAUGCUGCAGUUUACCAGUUCAGCAGCAGGUCAAAUGAUGCCCAAAUCAGACUGGAGACACACAUGCUGCUUUGGGUCUAGAGGUCGAGCUGGGGAUGACCUGUCACCUUCCUCGACCUCUGUGUUUGCUCACCAGCUCUGCAAUAAAAAUAAUAAGAA